rnacentral:rRNA from 1 species
GGGUCAGUAGGCUGGUCGUGCCACCGGUACGUACUGGUCUCACUGAUUCCUCCUCCCUGAAGAACCGUAAUGCCAUUAAUUUGGUGUUGCGGGGAAACAGGACUGUUACUUUGAAAGAAUUAGAGUGUUUAAAGCAAGCUAACGCUUGAAUACAUUAGCAUGGAAUAAUGAAAUAGUACGAUCGAUCCUAUUUUGUUGGUUUCUAGGAUUGACGUA